GCCAUCCGGCCACCUCGUAACCUCCUAACCAUGCGUGUUGUGUUGUUGAUUUCAGUUGUUUGGUGCUAAUUGGCAGGACGUUGCAUUGGCAUGUGGCCAUAUUGACGCCGCCGCAAAGCGCAAAGCCCCGUCCAGGUGCAGCUACUAUUUACCACAGAUCCGAGGGCUCAUGGCACUCAGGUCGAUGGCGGCGGCGGCGGUGGCUACAGAGAUGCCCAGCUCUCAUCAGUGGUCUUCUCCACAUGGCAGACGUCCGCGUCGUCCUUCUCGUGAACUGAUGGGAUGCCACCGCGUCUUCAUCCAGAUCGUCGAGAUCAAUUGGACGAAGAUUAAUUGGAAAGCAUGAUGAAGAUUAAUUGGAAUGCAAGCACACGUGCAUGUGUUUCCCAGCAAAAUUAUGACUAGAUUGCAGGCGAAUUUGUUCUCCACCAAGAUCAAGGGACGACCUAUUUAAACAAACAGUCGAGGUUGUAGCGAGUUUGUUCAUGCUGAUGAUUGUGAUUGCUCUGCGUCUGAAAAGAAUAUACAUAAUGCACCAGUCAUGCAAGGAAAAUAGUUAAAAUAAUAGUUUUGGCAGCAACAAAUAAGAUGAAUACGAUCUGCUCUCACAAUGAAACAAGAGAAAAGUAGUUUCUUGCAGUCAUCGACGAGGUAAGCAGAAAGAUGAUGCAUGGGCUUGGUCUAUUUAUUCUUUUAUUUUGCUAUGUUUUACGCACAGAUUAAACUUUGCUUUACCUGAUCUAAAUUUAAUUUGUUUACCGAUGUGAGUUUGGGGAAGUUUUUCUCUUAAUGCUUCAAAUUAAUUUUGUUUAGGAUUAAUGUGAAAAUUAAAAGCAAUUUGGGAGAAAAGUGCUACUCGAUUUGAACUCUAUAAAAUUAUGUAUAGGAAACCAAAUUAAUUUUUAUAGAACUGUGUAGAAUCAAAGCAAAAAAAAAGGGUGAUCAGUAACGACAUGUAGAAUAGUUGAAAUUAUGCAAAAUGCUCAAUAUACAUAUGCGUACAUUGGCUCACUGAAUUUUUGCUAAUAGCAUCAUAUGUCAUGAUAUGUUGAAAUUCUUUAAAUACAUUUACUAUCUACUACUCCCUCCGUUUUUAAAUAUAAGUGUUUUUUAGAUAUUCCAAUAAAAACUACAUACAGGGCAAAAUGAGUGAAUCUACACUGUAAAAUAUAUCUACAUACAUCCAUAUGUAGUCUAUAUUGAAAUCUCUAGAAAGAAAUAUAUUUAGAAACGGAGGGAGUAGAUCGUGGAGCCCUCGGCUGCCCACAGGUCUUGAUGUGGUGAAGGAGGAUGCCCUAGACUAGAUGCUCACGCGGCUGGGCCUCGACAAGGAGGCCCUCCUCACACCGUUGUGUGCUCUCCUAGGCCGACAAUGCUUGUAAGCCACACGCAAACCGAGGCUGCCACAUGGUGUUGGACGGUUUGGCUUCACGACACAACCGAGGCAGAUCCUAAGUAUAAUCUUAGGCAACAAUGUUAGCAUUUUCAUGUCGCCAAAACACACAUGAUCAUUUUUAUUUUUCUUCAAUUGCUGGUUUCACUGCCAUGAUAGUGUGUCUUCCGUUGCAACGCAUGGGCAGUUUUCCUAUCUUUACCUUAAUAAUAAAGCGAAUUGGGUUUCCGCCGUCGUCGAGCGUGAUUUUGCAUAAAAGUCCCUCGGUUUACAUGAAAUUAACCCGCAGUCCUUGUUUUAGUUAGUCUGCAUAUAACGUUACAAUUUUGCAAAGAAAACCCUGUACUCAUUUGAUUUGCAUCCGCUAGCCUCGUAGUCUUAUCCAUUUCUCUGGCGAUGGCUAUGGUGACGGCGACGGCGCCCGCGCCCGCGAGCUCCUCGAGCCGCCCCGCCGCCCGCAAGCCGCGCCGCCGCACGCAGCCCGCUACCCACCGCCGGAUCCCGCCUCCCGUCGUCCGCGUCGCGCCCGCAACUGCGUGUCGUCGCUGCCUGUGCUCUGCCUCGCCGCCUCCUCGACUCCUCGAGCCGAAGCUCGCUUCCGCCGGUGGCCAGCAGCAGCACCACCAGCAGCCCGCCCCACUCCUUUCUCACCUCUCCCUCCGGUUCCCCCUGCUCAACUCCCUCCCUGGUUUCUUCUCUACAGGAGCGCCAUGGCCGCUGAUCCCAUGCCCGAGGCCUCCUCAUCCCCGUCGUCGUCUGCUUCGUCUCCCGCUGCUGCGUGCCUGGACUCCACCGCUCGCACCUCCGCCCGUGCCCAACCUCUGCUCGCCUCCUCGCCCUUGCUGUCGUUGCUCUGUUUGUCGAGAACGAGCGAGCGGGAUGCCCGUUCCGCCUCCGUGUCCUUGUGAAACUCCUGCUCCCGUGUCCUUCUCAAACAAAGAAACAGUACCGACCCGGAUUUGUAGUUCGAUGCUAUAUAUUGACUUGUUCUCUGCCGGAAUCCAGAACCAGGCCAGCGCCACCAGCGAGCAUUGCACCGUCGCUUGGGGUAAGGAUUUGCCAGUCAUAACACCAUGCUCAGCAUCAUGUCGCCUUUGAGUGCGCCGGAGGAACAGGCACCGAGUUCGCCUUUGAGUACGCCGGACGAACCGACACCAUGUUCGCCGGAAUUCUUGGUCCAGAGAAGCACUGUGAGUCCAACGGUGGCUACAACAGAGAUCCCAAAGACUGAUAGAACUCAGGUGGAGGCCAAGGAGAUUCGGCUCUCGGACAUGCCACCAGUAACACUUGAUGAUAGCAACAUGCACACUAAAACAGAUGACAUCACCGAAAUGAACAUUCGAGAGGAUUUCGAUAACCGACCUUCAAAAAAAGCAAAAAUUUCUGAAUCAGGUGUUUUGGAGACAUCACCAAUGUCACCAACUAUGUCAACAUCUAAUCCAGUUUCUGAAUGUUUUGAAUCAAUUGUGCCUGAAUUAGAUAAUCAGAUAGAUCAUGAAUCGUUGGUGAGCGUUUUGAAGGAGGAAGCAAUUAGGGUUUUCUUCGUACCGAAGCACGAGGUGUUGUGCUUGCAGAUGCACGUCAAUUCAUCCUUCCCGUUGCAACGCACGGGCAUAUGUCCUGGUAAAACAAAUAUCCAGUUGGUCGAGCACACGAUUGUGGGUGUCCAUUAUUAAUACAUUGAUCACAAUGACUUUCAAAUGUCAAA